rnacentral:rRNA from 2 species
GAUAAACGCUGGCGGCGUGCUUAACACAUGCAAGUCGAACGAAGUUUUUCUUUCGGGAGGAACUUAGUGGCGGACGGGUGAGUAACGCGUGGGUAACCUGCCCUGUACAGGGGGACAACAGCUGGAAACGGCUGCUAAUACCGCAUAAGCCCUUAGCACUGCAUGGUGCAUAGGGAAAAGGAGCAAUCCGGUACAGGAUGGACCCGCGUCUGAUUAGCCAGUUGGCAGGGUAACGGCCUACCAAAGCGACGAUCAGUAGCCGAUCUGAGAGGAUGUACGGCCACAUUGGGACUGAGACACGGCCCAGACUCCUACGGGAGGCAGCAGUGGGGAAUAUUGCACAAUGGAGGAAACUCUGAUGCAGCGACGCCGCGUGAGUGAAGAAGUAUUUCGGUAUGUAAAGCUCUAUCAGCAGGGAAGAAAAUGACGGUACCUGACUAAGAAGCACCGGCUAAAUACGUG